rnacentral:rRNA from 1 species
GACGUAGGGCGCGAGCGUUGUCCGGAUUUAUUGGGCGUAAAGAGCUCGUAGGCGGCUUGUUGCGUCGACUGUGAAAACCCGCGGCUUAACUGCGGGCUUGCAGUUGAUACGGGCAGGCUAGAGUUCGGUAGGGGAGACUGGAAUUCCUGGUGUAGCGGUGAAAUGCGCAGAUAUCAGGAGGAACACCGGUGGCGAAGGCGGGUCUCUGGGCCGAUACUGACGCUGAGGAGCGAAAGCGUGGGGAUCAAACAGG